rnacentral:rRNA from 1 species
UAGGGAAUAUUGCGCAAUGGACGAAAGUCUGACGCAGCGACACCGUGUGAAGGAUGAAGAUCCUCGGAUCGUGAACUUCUGUCAAUUGGGGACGAAGGUAUUUAGGGUUAAUAGCCUUAAGUAUUGACGGUACCCAAUAAGGAAGUCUCGGCUUACUCCGUGCCAGCAGCCGCGGUAAGACGGGGGAGGCAAGCGUUGUCCGGAAUUAUUGGGCGUAAAGAGCGCGUAGGUGGUUUAUCAAGUCAUUUGUGAAAACUUUAGGCUUAACUUAAAGAUUGCAAGUGAUACUGGUAUACUUGAGCACAGCAGAGGAAAGUGGAAUUCCUAGUGUAGCAGUGAAAUGCGCAGAUAUCAGGAAGAACACCAGUGGCGAAGGCGGCUUUCUGGGCUGUUGCUGACACUGAGGCGCGAAAGCUAGGGGAGCGAACAG